CCUACAUGAAAAUUUACGUCAGGAUACCACAAUAAACAUGAUGACUAUUUUAGAUAACCUGCAUGAGGAACAAAACCAGUGAUGCUGAUGAAGUUAUCUAAUGGGUAACGAAGCAUCAGCAAGCAAAACACCAGGCUCAGAGAGCACCAUGUUUUGGUCCGCUGGUGGCCUGAGGAGCUGGCAGCAGAGUCGGACAGUUCCACUGCCGGGUGCUCAACAUUAUAGUGUAGUUUCCUGCAUCUUCUUCCGCAACAUGUUUUAUAAUGAGUGAGAAACCUUUAAUU